rnacentral:rRNA from 1 species
GGAUUCAGCAGCUACCAUGCAGUCGAGCGGUAGCACAGAGAGCUUGCUCUCGGGUGACGAGCGGCGGACGGGUGAGUAAUGUCUGGGAAACUGCCUGAUGGAGGGGGAUAACUACUGGAAACGGUAGCUAAUACCGCAUAACGUCGCAAGACCAAAGUGGGGGACCUUCGGGCCUCAUGCCAUCAGAUGUGCCCAGAUGGGAUUAGCUAGUAGGUGGGGUAACGGCUCACCUAGGCGACGAUCCCUAGCUGGUCUGAGAGGAUGACCAGCCACACUGGAACUGAGACACGGUCCAGACUCCUACGGGAGGCAGCAGUGGGGAAUAUUGCACAAUGGGCGCAAGCCUGAUGCAGCCAUGCCGCGUGUAUGAAGAAGGCCUUCGGGUUGUAAAGUACUUUCAGCGGGGAGGAAGGCGAUAAGGUUAAUAACCUUGUCGAUUGACGUUACCCGCAGAAGAAGCACCGGCUAACUCCGUGCCAGCAGCCGCGGUAAUACGGAGGGUGCAAGCGUUAAUCGGAAUUACUGGGCGUAAAGCGCACGCAGGCGGUCUGUCAAGUCGGAUGUGAAAUCCCCGGGCUCAACCUGGGAACUGCAUUCGAAACUGGCAGGCUAGAGUCUUGUAGAGGGGGGUAGAAUUCCAGGUGUAGCGGUGAAAUGCGUAGAGAUCUGGAGGAAUACCGGUGGCGAAGGCGGCCCCCUGGACAAAGACUGACGCUCAGGUGCGAAAGCGUGGGGAGCAAACAGGAUUAGAUACCCUGGUAGUCCACGCCGUAAACGAUGUCGAUUUGGAGGUUGUGCCCUUGAGGCGUGGCUUCCGGAGCUAACGCGUUAAAUCGACCGCCUGGGGAGUACGGCCGCAAGGUUAAAACUCAAAUGAAUUGACGGGGGCCCGCACAAGCGGUGGAGCAUGUGGUUUAAUUCGAUGCAACGCGAAGAACCUUACCUGGUCUUGACAUCCACAGAACUUGCCAGAGAUGGCCUUGGUGCCUUCGGGAACUGUGAGACAG